AGCAAGUGUGUCAUUUGAGUGAUUUUUCCAAAAAAAAAAAUGGAGGUUUUCCCCUUUUUCCGCGUAUAAUUUCUUCUGUUUCUGAAACUGAUUUCCGACUCUAUUUUGCUGGGCGAAUCCCUAAUGUCCAACAGGAUUCUCUGCAAGUUCUUCAUCCAAGGCGCUUGCUUGAAAGGGGAGCAUGGCGAAUAUUCCCAUUACUCGAAUAAUAUUUGCCCAUUCUAUUAAAACAGGGAUCUGUUUCCAUGGAAGUAGAUUCGGAUUUGAACAUGUUGUUAGCUCUUCUCAGUGGCUAAUAUCCUCGUCACAGUCGGCACUUGGCGGUCACUAAGCACUGACUGUGAAUGUGAACCUGUAGCCCUCUCCUCUCAGCUCGGUAGUUUGCAAAAUGAUGUUGAUUAUGAAUGGGACAAUGAUCGAGUGUGAUCAUCCAUUCUGUAUCUGGAAUGGACGUGAAUAACACGUUCAGAGCGUGCCCUACAUGUCCUAAACGAUCAUUAUUUCAAUCCCGAAGAGAAAAAGGGAAUAAUCGGGCCGUUAUAAGGAAAAAAUCGGGUAUACUGCAUCAUUCUUUUUUGCUUAUGCAUGAUGGAAGCAUGAAAUGUUUUGCUAAAUUCGUCUCUGGUAGGUUAUUCAGCAACGGUUAUAGUGUUACAUGGUACCGCUGCAAUUUCAUAUGCCCCAAACUUGCAGGUCAAUAGAUUGCAAGAUCUUUAACUUUGGAAAUGGCAACGGUCCAUUUCUCUACAAGACGAGAUUCAAUGAGAGAGAGAAAGAUUCAAGAGAGGUCAAGACGGAAGACUCGGUAUUUUUUAGAAAGAAACUCAAAAAUUAAGUCCGAGGAUUGAAUUCCAACCAAGGGACAAACCCAUCUGCUCAAUUUCUUGCAUCAUUUCAGACCCGAAGAAAGCGAAGAACAUCUGAAAGAGUAAAAAGAAGCAUAUAAGUUAACAGAAAUGACUCGUCGAAUCUGAUUCUAAAUAACAGAGAAGGGUCUGAAAGCUGAAACGUGAUCAAGAACCAGAUUCGGACGUACACAAUUUCAGGUCUGCUUCACGCACACCCAACAUCGAAGCACUAUUAGUCCACCUUUCCACAGUAGCUGUCUCGGCAUCAAAGACAUGGAAGCAACUAAGAAGUACUCACCCAAUUGUUCCAUGGCAUUGGCUGGUAUGGUUUCGACAAGGUGUUCCUCGAUAUGUUUUUACUAUAUGACAGGCUUUCCUCAAUAGAUUACCAACCAGAAACAAGCUAGUUCGGCAGGGAGAAACUACGGAUACUAUCUGCAUACUACACCAAGAAGGUGUGGAAUCACACUCCCACCUUUUAUUCGAAUGUCUUUGGAAGCACUUUGCAGGUUGCUGCUGGACAAACCCGCCGACUACACUCCAAGACUGCCUCCAAUGGUUCUCCGACCCGAACCAUGUGAGGAAUGAACACAGAAUGAUAAUAGGGAAGCUCUUUCUACAAGUAGCUAUCUCCCUCAUAUAGGGGAACGAAAUGCACGGAUAUUUGCUUUGCUCGGACACAAGCGACAAAGGAAGAAUUAUGCCGGAGGCUUGACAUCACUAAUCCGGAACAUCCUGCUGUCUCACCGGAAGCCAAACACAGAGGAAUCCAAUCCUGGUCUGGUGGAAUCAAAACGACACCAAACUUAGGUUUCUUCUUUUAUUCUUCCAAAGGUUUUUUCUGUUCCACAGAGAGGCUCAAGUCCCAAUCAUGGAAUCCAUUUAUUUUGGAAACUCCGGUUCUUAUAACUGGCUGAUGUAAAGACGAAUCGUUACCAUUUAUUUAUAGAAAUUUACCUUACACAAAAAACGGUACAUUCGAGUUCAGUUGUGGUUCGAGCUCAAACUUACAAAGAAAUAUCAUAAAUGGUGCUAAAGAUUAAACACGCAGAUGACCUGAAGAAAGAUUUGCUACCGAUAAUAUAUUACAUGUAUCUGGACCAUGCAUAAGCAAAAAUAAAUGAUCGUAUAUUGCAAAGAUAUUUCUUUGUACACGCAAGUUUUGCAUUACAAGUGCCGACGCAGAAUCUCUGUCCUGACAGCGCUGAAGAGACGAAGCUCUCCGUCUCCUUUUCCCGUCGAACCAGAAAACCCAGAAUCCGCCAGCUACAAUC